CUGGGGCAAGCUACAACAGUUCUCAUUCUUGGGUCUUUUUAUCUGUCAAGUGGAAGCGAUAAUAGGUCCUUCUGAGCCUGCCAGGUGGACCAAGUAAGUUCAACGCCCAAAUGCAGUGCUUAAGCCAGUGCACAUCACAGGAAAAGCACAUAGCAAGUCAGUCAUCACUAUCCUCACAUCGUCUUCCUCAGCAGGUGUCAUCAGCAUGGUCUCUAUGGCCACUGUCAGCAGAGUAGAUGUGACUAGGUAUAGGCACCUGGUUUCCACAGUCCCCAGUAUCACCAUCUCAUCAGAUAUGAUCAGGUGUGUUCGUGUGCUAUGUCCACGAACUGCACUGAUGUCAUCAUGACAUCUUCAUCCCCAUCAUGAUGACAUCAUCAUCCCCAUGCCUAGCAGCAGCACUAUGCCCUGAACUACAUCACUACCAUCCUUGUUGCUAUCCCCAGCACUGCCAUCAUCACCAUGACAUCAUCGCUGCCAUCAUGGUAACAUCAUCAUCGCUAUCUACAGUAUCACCACCGUCAACACUACCACUACCUCUUCAUGACCACUGUUGUCAACACCAUCAUUAUCAUCUCUCCAUCAACACUAGUCAUCACCAUCCUUGUGACAAUCACCACACUACCAUCACCAUCACCAAGACCCUCUUCCUUACAAGUGUUUCCCUGCCAUGACAUCACUACCAUACCCACUAUCUUCUGAGUGUCACUACCACCACCAUCUUUGUCACCACUAUCAUUACCACUGUGAUCCUCCUCCUCAUUAUCAUCUCUGUUCUCCUCACAAUCACCAUGGUGACCACUGUCACAUUUCUGUCUUUUAUUACAUGCCCUCUCCACCAACUCUGCUUGCUGAAGUCCCUUCUUCUGGCUCACACCAGAAGGGACGCUCUCCCUUUCUUCUCUGGAGUACCAUUUUGCCGAUACAAAUAUGCAUGGUGGUGUUUGGGUCACUGGCAACCUUUCAUAGGUUGUCCCUGAAGGCCCAUAAGAGAGCCCAGGAAGACAACCAGCAUUGUAAACUCACUGUUCCUGAGCUUCCCCGGGAGCUCCAGUGCUCUGCCUUUGAUGGCUGCCUGCUGCCCAGCCAUCUGAGACCAUGUCCAGAGACAAACGUGCUCUACUCUCCUGACACCCAAGAACAGCGCUCAGAGGUGCUCAAGAAAUGGCCAGGGUUUAUUUACUUCCAAGUUAUAAAACUCUUAGAUGAACUAGAUGAACGCAGCGUGGAGUCCCAGGUACCAUGGUCCAACCCCACAGACAGGGUGAGCAGACCAGUAAACAGCAAGGGUUUGCAUCAGAUGUUGAACCUGGGCUCCAGGAAGAACACUUGAGGACUAAGAAGAGGCCCCAACCUCGGGGCACCCUCCACUGAAAAUGGGGCAGGAGCAGGUACCCAGGACUGGAGUGCAGUGAGGAGGCUACGGCGGCUAAACAAGAUCCAGCAUCACCAGGAAAAGGAAGGACCUGGGAGGCAGCUUUAAGGAGCCUGGAGCCAAACUGGCUGAGGUUAAGAUGGUCCACUACCUGCUACCUGUGUGACCUUGAACAAGGGGCUUGACCCUGAGCGCAGCUGCUGUGUCCUGCUAGGAGCAACAUGGAGGAAGAAGGACUGACGAGGACAGCCGGGGACCUCAGGGAAGUAUUUCCACACAGGCAAUGCCUCAGGAUGUUACUAGCUGCCUUAGCAUUGGGAAGCAGAGGGAGGCUGAGCCUGAAGGGAAGUUUCUGGAAGAUUUUUCUGAGGCAGUGUCAGUGAGGGUUUCCCUGGGUGUUGGGCAGGCCUAAAUGGCUGUGUCAACUGGCAAGGCCUGAGCAGACUCCAGGGACCUGACUGAGGCCUUUAGGGGCAGGACCUGGGCAGAGCAACCACCACUUGCUUCAGGCCCAGGAGAUAAAGGAGGUACCAUCUUCAGUGUACAGUCUGCUCUGGAGUCUCCAGUGCUAUUUGAGGGGUGCACUGAUCAAGUCAUAAUAUUGGGGUGCCCAAGAGCCCCUGGACCAGCUUCCACUGUGACCUAACAUCUGGACCUGGCUCCACCUCCACCUGCCACCGGGCUCACCAUCCAUGGCAUCUCUUAACCAGGGAGGGUGGUCCAUCAGAAUUCCGACUGAGCCGAAGGCGGCUUUAUGUCCUGAAUCUCCGUCUUUCUGUUCUAAAGUAACCAUUGGAAUAAUUUUCUUACAGAAUGAUAGUUGCCAUGACAACGAGAGCAAAUUUUCCUUUUCUGAAACAGAUGUCUCAUUUAGUUGAAAAUUAGAAUGUGAGCAAACCCAUGGGAAAAAUUAAUUCAAACUUUAACAGAGCACUGAAUACAACGUAAUCUCUCUGAGGUUAACCCCUUAACAGCUUUUCUGUGUGCGUCUGCUAACCUUCAGAUCAAACCUAAUUAGGCCCGCUUAGCCAAUAUAAAUGACCUCCUCAUGGCCAAUCAUUACAGGGUCCCCAUGAAGCGUGAAGUUGGGUUCCCUGACAGCUGAUGGGGCUACAGACACUCCUCUAUAGCAAGCAGCUGAAAUGGAGCCUGCCUGGCCCUAGUUUCUGCUUCUCCAGAGCAAGCUUUCAGGCCCCAGAGUGGGCAUAUUCCCCAAGGUUCAUCCAGGGUACAGUGACCUUCUAGCUAAACCCAUUUCCUGGGUCUAGAGUGUAGGGCAGUGGAGGCCUGACCCCAAAGUAUUUGCAGGCCAGAGAUCAUGCUUGAGCACUGACCCUAUGGGACACUGAAGGGGCAUCCACAGAGGGGCAGCUCAGGGGCCCCUCACCCACCCAGGGAGAUAUCUGCCAUCAUGGUUCCCACAAGCACAGAAGCUAGGGUGUAGAGCCAUACCUAAGUGACAUAGCCAGAGUACAUCACUUGGGUACCCAGAGUGCUGGUCCAGAGCCAGGCUCUCUCUUCUAACCCAAAACGAUAAAAAUAACCACCCUUCUAUGGUAACACCCUCUGUAUUUAGUUGCUCAGUUAACUCUUGGGAGGAAACUGCUGGGAGCUUCGCAUUCAGGCACUGAAAGUGUUAGCACAGAGAAGGCUAGCAUAUCUGAGCACGCACAGGAGCAAGAAGGGUUUGGGCCAGGAUCCCAGACCCCUGCAACCCGUGUUCAAGCUAAUGGUUGAUGCAAAGAGGCCCCUGGGGGUAGCCAGGCACCAGCUCUCCCUUCCACACAGAAGCUUCUUGUCUGAGUUGCCCCCACAGGCUCCCUGGGAGGAGCCUUCAGCCUGGCUGAUCAGGGAAGAGGCAGCAUCCAUCACAGGUUGCCUGUGUCACCUCCAAAUCCCCCCAUGGCUCCCCCACUGUCUCCAGGAAACAGACACACACACACACACACACACACACACACACACACACAGUCCUGGUGGUUUGGCACACAGGGCCCUUGAACCUACCCCAACUGACUCUCAGACAAUGCAGCCCAGGUUCCCAUGAAGUUCCCCCAACAGGCUGACUGUGCCUGUUCUGCUCUGUAAGCAGCCCAAGCUAGUAGCUACCCCCAGACUUUGUCUCCUGCCACCCCACAUCCAGAGGCGCUAACUUCUCACCAAGGCUCAUGUUCAUAAGGCCCAACUCAAAAGCCAUCUCCUCCAGAAGUGUCCCCUGAUCACCUCUCUCCUCUCGCACAGGUACCCCCCCACCCCACCCCCACCUCGAUGGUCUGUUGUAGGCUUCUCCAGCACAGUGUUCAGAUCUGCCCCUGUGUCUCUUAUGCCUGGCAAGAGGACUGAGCCGGGUGGCCCUCAGGGAAGGUAUGUUCAAGAAGAACGGCGAUGAAAGAUGAAUGCAAACUGGAACAAGCCAGCAGGCACGCUGUCAGGCUGCAGGCAUGAAGAACUUCCGGCCUCACCGGCGACUGCCAUCAUCACCAACACCAGCAGCAGCAGCGUCACUGCCAUCAUCAUCAAUAUCAUCACCAACAUAACCAUCAUCACUAUCAUCUACACCAUUACCAACUUCAUCGUCAUCGUUAUCAUCACCAUCAUAAGCAUCACACCAACAUCAUCAUCACCAUCACCACAGAUCUCCACCAUCACCAUCGCUGUCCUCAGCAGCACUGUUAUAGUCAGUUACCAUUGCCAAGGACACAGUGACCAUCACAAAGCAAGUCUGGACCCGUGGUCACUUCGAGCACCACCCAGCAGGGUGAGUUCAGAGCAAUGGCCCAGUCAGCCACUGUCUCCAAGAGAAUAAGGGUUCCCUGUGCAUUUGUUUUUUAAACAGCUGCUGUCCCCAUACAAGAAAGUGCCCCAUGGGACCGUCUGAUGGUCCCAGAUGCCUUUCCUCAAUUAUGUGGAUCAAUUGUCUUUUCCAACAACCACAUGCCUUUCUGUGGGAGGACAGAAGACAGGCAGAAAGGGAAGAUUCCCUCGUGCUGGAGGCGCGUGUUUGAAAGAAAGCCCUGCAGCUGCAGCCCUCCCCUGCUGAGCUGUGCCAUCUUGGAAGGUCCGUACUCUCUCCCAGCUCCAUUUCUUUAUCGUGAGUUGGAGACAAUACCACCUGCCUGCAUAUGGGGAAACUGAGGCCCAGGGGGUGACAGUAGCCUGCCUGAGGUCAAACAGAUGGUGAGAGUGACAAGACCAAGUCCCAGAUCCUCCUGUUCUCAUUGCACCAGCCCUGAGCCUCAACUUUGGGUCCCAAUGCCCCUGUAGGAGACUGGAGUUGCCACCACCCGCUUGCCUCGCCCUAACAGCUGGUGAAGGUGGGGGCCGAUCACACUCACCACGGGGAGCCGUAGAUC